rnacentral:rRNA from 1 species
UCCGAAGGGGGCUAGCGUUGCUCGGAAUCACUGGGCGUAAAGCGCACGUAGGCGGCUUUUUAAGUCAGGGGUGAAAUCCUGGAGCUCAACUCCAGAACUGCCUUUGAUACUGAGAAGCUUGAGUCCGGGAGAGGUGAGUGGAACUGCGAGUGUAGAGGUGAAAUUCGUAGAUAUUCGCAAGAACACCAGUGGCGAAGGCGGCUCACUGGCCCGGUACUGACGCUGAGGUGCGAAAGCGUGGGGAGCAAACCGG